UGGAGGAGGGGUUGGGAGAGGGAAAGAAAAAGAGACCUCGCAGUUUCUCCACUUUUAUCCCGCUUCGCUCUUUGCUCGGGAAGCAUACGCGCACGCGCGCGUGCGAUCGAGCACGAGACUGCCGGAGAACGUGGAAGAGAGGCGCGGAGCUGGAGGGAGGGCUAGGGAGGGGGGAGCCGAAGAUGAGGAAAUAGGAGGGCGGGGCUGUCGUUGCCAUGGUAGUUACGUCAGGCGGCGUCGGGGAGCGAACCCGACACACAUACACACACACAUACACAUACACACGGAGAUAUGCACACGCACACACAAGAGGAAAAGGUCAAACUAAAGGCGAGGAGGAGACGGAAGGGAGCAGUCGCCGUUGCUGCUAGCGCGCGCCAUGACGGACGCGACCUAAUCCACUUCCUUCGUCCGGACGCUUCCGACCCCCUUUGACUUUACCAACCCCCCCUCCCGCCCUCGGAAGCACCCCCCUUCCUAGCGCGAGCGUGUCCACGCCCCCCUCCACCACUCCCCCCUCCCGCGGGAGCGUUAUUUCGGGAACGCGCGCACGGGCGCGUGCAAGAAGGGGGGCGGGGGAAUGGGAAGGGGUUCCAGGUUGGGGGGCGCUGUGGCUGCAGCUGUGGUUGCACCUCCCUAUACUGGAGAGACCCGAGAGGACUGAUCAGGGUCAUCAGAGUCCAGUGGCAAGACAAGUGAGGAUGACUGGCUAUGUCCUGGGCUGCAAUGGAUGGCCUUUGCUAUCUGACCAAGCUCUGAAUGCUCUCCAGCUCCUGCUUCAGAGGGCAGAACUUGGACCAAUGUGUGGAAGUUAAAAGCAGAGUUUUAAAGGAGAUACUGUCUCACAGUUUGAAGUGAGAUGAAGAAACUGAGAUUCAAAGGAGUCAAGCGGUUUAUUCAAGAUCACAUGGCUAACAAAUGGCAGCUGGAAUUAAAACAAGGCUACCUCUAUGGGAAGGGAGAAUUGAAAGAAUAGCAGGACCCAAGGACAAACAUUUCUCCAGAAUGUCAUGGAGAAGGAAGAAGAAUCCAGGAAUGAGUGAGAAGCAUGGCAAAUGUCUUUCCUAAAAUGAUGGCCCAGGGAAAGAAUUGUAAAGUGGAAGAGCAGGGCAGAUGUCCAGUGAUAGUUGGCUACUGGCUAUUCUUCAUACAAUAUUUCACCUAUUUGUGCCUUUGGAUCUACUCUUCAUAUUUUUCUUCCUCAUCUCUACCUCCUUAUUUCCCUAAAUUACCUCAAGACUUAAUUCAGAUUCCACCUUCUGCAAUAAGCCUUUUUCCUCUUUCUCCUCAGUAGCUAUUCUCUUCCCUUCUAAGGUUUCCUUGCUUCUAAUUUGUAAGUAUCUUGUGUGUACUGAUUUAUAUGUAUUUUGUCUUCCUCCAUUAAAAUGUGAACUAGAGGCUUUUUUUCUCUUUUUUAUUUAUAUUCCCAGUCAAUAAAUAGUAAGUGCUUAAUAAA